GUGGUAUACAAAUGUGGUAAGAGUAGCAUUAUUCGUGCCAAAAAAAGGUUUUUUAGAGGAAUAAUGCUACACUUACCACAUUUGUAUACCACAU
rnacentral:miRNA from 1 species